UGGGUAGGUCUGUGCAGGGGGUAGGUCUGUGCAGGGGGUAGGUCUGUGCAGGGGGUAGGUCAGUGCAAGGGGUAGGAUUGGAAGUUUGGGUAGGUCAGUGCAGGGGGUAGGUCUGUGCAGGGGCUAGGUCUGUGCAGGGGGUAGGUCAGUGCAGGGGGUAGGUCAGUGCAGGGGGUAGUAUUGAGUAGGUCAGUGCAGGGGAUAGGACUGGAAGUUUGGGUAGGUCAGUGUAGGGUAGGACUGGAAGUUUGGGUACGUCAGUGCAGUGGGUAGGAUUGGAAGAUUGGGUAGGUCAGUGCCAGGUAUUAUGAUCGGAGAAUUGGGUUAGGUCAGUGCAAGGAUAGGAUCGAAAAGAUUGGAUAGUUCUGUGCAGGGGGUAGGAUCAGAGCAUUGGGCAGGUCUGUGCAGGGGGCAGGAUCGGAGCAUUGGGUAGGUCAGUGCAGGGGGCAGGAUCGGAGCAUUGGGUAGGUCAGUGCAGGGGAUAGGAUUGGAAGUUUGGGUAGGUGGGUAGGUCAGUGCAGAGGGCAGGAUCGGAGCAUUGGGUAGGUCUGUGCAGGGGGCAGGAUCGGAGCAUUGGGUAAGUCUGUGCAGGGGGCAGGAUCGGAGCAUUGGGUAGGUCAGUGCAGGGGGCAGGAUCGGAGCAUUGGGUAGGUCAGUGCAGUGGGCAGGAUCGGAGCAUUGGGUAGGUCAGUGCAGGGGAUAAGAUUGGAGGUUUGAGUAAGUCUGUGCAGGGGAUAGGAUUGAAAGUUUGGGUAGGUCAGUGCAGAUGGUGGAUUUGAGUAUUGAGUAGGUCAGUGCAGGGGAUAGGACUGGAAGUUUGGGUAGGUCAGUGCAGGGGAUAGGAUUGGAAGUUUUGGUAGGUCAGUGCAGGGGUCGUAAGAUUGUAAGGUUCUGAGACGUGGUAGCUUGCAGUUUCCGCACCCAGCGCACCUUGCCGUAUAUGACAAUUUGUCCCUUGUUACUAUUGCAGCACCGUGUCUGUCAUACUGUGUCUUUGUCCUCCCUUAACCAUAAG